UAAAUAUCGAGGCUCCAUGAUUCAUAGAGAAUACUACAGGAGGUCCCAUUACAUACGAAUUACACGAAACGAGUGUCCUUCCUAUGGUAUCUGACCGAGC